rnacentral:rRNA from 1 species
GGAUUAGAUACCCUGGUAGUCCACGCCCUAAACGAUGAGAACUAGCCGUUGGGGGUAAUUGAAACCUUUAGUGGCGCAGCUAACGCGAUAAGUUCUCCGCCUGGGGAGUACGGCCGCAAGGUUAAAACUCAAAGGAAUUGACGGGGGCCCGCACAAGCGGUGGAGCAUGUGGUUUAAUUCGAUGCAACGCGAAGAACCUUACCUGCCCUUGACAUCUAGCGAACUUUCCAGAGAUGGAUUGGUGCCUUCGGGAACGCUAAGACAGGUGCUGCAUGGCUGUCGUCAGCUCGUGCUG